rnacentral:rRNA from 1 species
GACGAACGCUGGCGGCGUGCUUAACACAUGCAAGUCGAACGGAAAGGCCCUGCUUUUGUGGGGUGCUCGAGUGGCGAACGGGUGAGUAACACGUGAGUAACCUGCCCUUGACUUUGGGAUAACUUCAGGAAACUGGGGCUAAUACCGGAUAGGAGCUCCUGCUGCAUGGUGGGGGUUGGAAAGUUUCGGCGGGUGGGGAUGGACUCGCGGCUUAUCAGCUUGUUGGUGGGGUAGUGGCUUACCAAGGCUUUGACGGGUAGCCGGCCUGAGAGGGUGACCGGCCACAAUGGGACUGAGAUACGGCGCAGACUGGUACGGGAGGCAGCGGGGGGGAGUAUUGCACAAUGGGCGGAAGUCUGAUGCAGCGGCGCCGCGUGCGGGAUGACGGCCUUCGGGUUGUAAACCGCUUUCGCCUGUGACGAAGCGUGAGUGACGGUAAUGGGUAAAGAAGCACCGGCUAACUACGUG